GACGAACGCUGGCGGCGUGCUUAACACAUGCAAGUCGAACGGAAAUGCCCUGCUUUUGUGGGGUGCUCGAGUGGCGAACGGGUGAGUAACACGUGAGUAACCUGCCCUUGACUUUGGGAUAACUUCAGGAAACUGGGGCUAAUACCGGAUAGGAGCUCCUGCUGCAUGGUGGGGGUUGGAAAGUUUCGGCGGUUGGGGAUGGACUCGCGGCUUAUCAGCUUGUUGGUGGGGUAGUGGCUUACCAAGGCUUUGACGGGUAGCCGGCCUGAGAGGGUGACCGGCCAAAGGGGGACAGAGAUACGGCCGGGAGUACUACGGGAGACAGCAGUGGGGAAUAAUGCACAAUGGGCGGAAGCCUGAUGCAGCAACGCCGCGUGCGGGAUGACGGCCUUCGGGUUGUAAACCGCUUUCGCCUGUGACGAAGCGUGAGUGACGGUAAUGGGUAAAGAAGCACCGGCUAACUACGUG
rnacentral:rRNA from 1 species